GCGCCCUUAGAGUUUGAUCCUGGCUCAAGAGGACCUUUGGCGGCGCGCCUAACACAUGCAAGUCGAACGGAGCUUAGAGAGCUUGCUUUUUAAGCUUAGUGGCGAACGGGUGAGUAACGCGUGAGUAACCUGCCCUAGAGUGGGGGACAACAGUUGGAAACGACUGCUAAUACCGCAUAAGCCCACGGUACCGCAUGGUACUGAGGGAAAAGGAUUUAUUCGCUUUGGAUGGACUCGCGUCCAAUUAGCUAGUUGGUGAGGUAACGGCCCACCAAGGCGACGAUUGGUAGCCGGACUGAGAGGUUGAACGGCCACAUUGGGACUGAGACACGGCCCAGACUCCUACGGGAGGCAGCAGUGGGGGAUAUUGCACAAUGGGGGAAACUUUGUUUCACCGACGCCGCGUGGAAAAAGAAGGUUUUCGGAUUGUAAACUCCUGUCGUUAGGGCGGAUAAUGACGGUACUUACCAAGAAAGCACCGGCUAACUACGUGCCAGCAGCCGCGGUAAAACGUAGGGUGCAAGCGUUGUCCGGAAUUACUGGGUGUAAAGGGAGCGCAGGCGGGAAGACAAGUUGGAAGUGAAAACCAUGGGCUCAACCCAUGAAUUGCUUUCAAAACUGUUUUUCUUGAGUAGUGCAGAGGUAGAUGGAAUUCCCGGUGUAGCGGUGGAAUGCGUAGAUAUCGGGAGGAACACCAGUGGCGAAGGCGGUCUACUGGGCACCAACUGACGCUGAGGCUCGAAAGCAUGGGUAGCAAACAGGAUUACAUACCCUGGUAGUCCAUGCCGUAAACGAU
rnacentral:rRNA from 1 species